rnacentral:rRNA from 1 species
UAUGUGAUCGUCUCUCGCAUAUCAAUAAGCGGAGGAAAAGAAACUAACAAGGAUUCCCCUAGUAACGGCGAGUGAAGCGGGAAGAGCUCAAAUUUGAAAUCUUAAAGGGUUUCCCUCUACGAAUUGUAGUUUAAAGAAGUGUUUUCUGUUGAGGUUUUGGUAAAAGUUCUUUGGAAUAGGACAUCAUAGAGGGUGAGAAUCCCGUAUUUGACCUUUACUUUCAACUUUGUGAUACACUUUCAAAGAGUCGGAUUGUUUGGGAAUGCAGUCCAAAAUGGGUGGUAAAUUUCAUCUAAAGCUAAAUAUUGGCGAGAGACCGAUAGCGAACAAGUACCGUGAGGGAAAGAUGAAAAGAACUUUGAAAAGAGAGUUAAACAGUACGUGAAAUUGUCAAAAGGGAAGCGUUUGACACCAGUGUUGUUUUUCUGAAAAUCAAUUAAAGAACUGUUUAUGCUAAGUUGUUUAGACUUUAUCAGCUAACUGUUUAGUUUUGAGCUUUUCUUUAAUGCACUUUUCAGUUAACAAGUCAACAUCAAUUUCUUUUGCUGUAAAAAAGCUUGAGGAAGGUGGCUUGAGAUUCGUCUUAAGUGUUUAUAGCCUCUUGCCUAUGCAGUCGGAGAGAUUGAGGUCUGCAGCGUAGAUCCUUCGGGGCUAAAUGCAUUUGUGCUAAGUUAUAGCAUUUUAUAGACAACUUGUUGACUAUGAUUUGUCUUGUAGCUUACUCGCUUAUGUUAUUUUACCUACGCUUAGGAUGUUGACACACGCGCGUGCUCG